rnacentral:rRNA from 1 species
AUUGAACGCUGGCGGCAGGCCUAACACAUGCAAGUCGAGCGGAGCGGCGGACGGGUGAGUAAUGCUUAGGAAUCUGCCUGGUAGUGGGGGACAACGUCUGGAAACGGGUGCUAAUACCGCAUACUAUCAGAUGAGCCUAGGUCGGAUUAGCUAGUUGGUGGGGUAAAGGCCUACCAAGGCGACGAUCUGUAACUGGUCUGGGAGGAUGAUCCGUCACACUGGAAGUGAGACACGGUCCCGACUCCUACGGGAGGAAGCAGGGGGGAAUAUUGGAAAAUGGGCGAAAGCCUGAUCCAGCCAGGCCGCGUGUGGAAGGAAGGUCUUCGGAUUGUAAAGCACUUUAAGUUGGGAGGCGUUACCAACAGAAUAAGCACCGGCUAACUUCGUGCCAGCCGCCGCGGUAAUAC